CACGAGCUCACAUCUUUUAAUUGUACGAGAAGAAAGUUCGUUAGUGUUAGCUUGUUAAAUCGAAAUAUAGGAAUGCUUUAAAAGCUUAAAUUGAUAUGGACAGCUGCGAAUAGGCAGAAUAAAGAAAAACUAUGAGCUGGCGUUCAUUUCUAGAACAUUUCAGCGCCUGUGGGAGAUGUUGGUGCUCGUCGUUUUUCAGGGGGACAGGAGAGUCAAGGGUUGGAUGUCUGCCAAAAGAGGCCGGCCCUCCCGUGCAGCUGAAACUUUUACAAGCCAAGCAGGAAGAGAUGCAGGGAGAGAUCGAAGAAGAAAAAGAGCACAAGAAAAAAGAAAAAAAAAAAACAGGAGAGUCAUCUGAACUUAUCAGUUUGGCAACUCUUUUCUCUCCCUGCCUCUUUCGUCUUUCUGUCCGUCUGUCUCGCUUUUGUUAUUCUUUGUUAAAGCCCUACUGUAUGUGCCCGCCUUUGUUGGCAGGGGGUAAGUGUAGUGCCUGAGGGCAGCACAGGAUGGGAGGGGAGGGGAACUUUGAGUUCAGAGAGUUCAGCUGAGGAGAGAAAUAAAUUCAUAAACAACAAAGGAGACGUGACGUCAGGUUGAGGGGCCGUCCAACCUGCUGGCUGAAUCUUCGCCUCCAUAGAAGAACCAGAUUGUGUGCACCGUGUGUGCCUGUACAGUAUGAAUGUGUGUUUGUGUCCAUUGUCCUUCCUUCAAGAAAAGACCUAUGAGGAGUUUUAGCAAAGAAGUUGGACUGCGCUAGUCUGUUUUGUCUCUGUGAGUUUGAAUAUUUGGAGAACCCU